rnacentral:rRNA from 1 species
AGUGAACGCUGGCGGUAGGCCUAACACAUGCAAGUCGAACGGCAGCACAGGAGAGCUUGCUCUCUGGGUGGCGAGUGGCGGACGGGUGAGGAAUACAUCGGAAUCUACUUUUUCGUGGGGGAUAACGUAGGGAACCUUACGCUAAUACCGCAUACGACCUACGGGUGAAAGCAGGGGAUCUUCGGACCUUGCGCGAUUGAAUGAGCCGAUGUCGGAUUAGCUAGUUGGCGGGGUAAAGGCCCACCAAGGCGACGAUCCGUAGCUGGUCUGAGAGGAUGAUCAGCCACACUGGAACUGAGACACGUUCCAGACUCCUACGGGAGGCAGCAGUGGGGAAUAGUGGACAAUGGGCGCAAGCCUGAUCCAGCCAUACCGCGUGGGUGAAGAAGGCCUUCGGGUUGUAAAGCCCUUUUGUUGGGAAAGAAAUCCAGCUGGUUAAUACCCGGUUGGGAUGACGGUACCCAAAGAAUAAGCACCGGCUAACUUCGUGCCAGCAGCCGCCGUAA